GGCCGCUGUGCGCCGGGCGGGGCCCGCGACGGGGUGGGAUCAGGGGCCUGGGGACACCGCCUCAAGGCCGGGGCAGCGACGAACUCCGAGCGGGACACUGAACGGCUCGUACGCGCAAGAUAAGCACGGACCGAACCAGGUACACGCACCUGUCGGGGACUCACUGACUGAGGUGCGGACGGCACUUUACCAGGACAGGUAAAGACGCGAACCCUCGGACCUAAGAACUUGACAGGUACACCCUGCCUGAUAAAGCUACGCCAGGUGCGCUAUCGAGUGAGUCGGGUACACAGAGGUUGGUCCACGCACCUUGGAGGCAGAGCCAUAGUUAUAAAGACAGGUACAUCCAGACAGGCACUUUUCAAGUGGAGUCAGGGCCCCUCAAGACACACUGUGCUCGAAGCUGUCACACAGAGGUGGGCCACCCACAGGGCCAGGUACACCUUUCAUGAAAUCUCUACCUUACCAGGACCGAAAGGCAGAUUCAGCCAGCAGAUGCACAAUGGCCAAGGCAGAAAACCAGGCAAAAGAGGGCCAUUUAUCCCAUUUACCCGAAUCACCACGUGAGUGUCCACACAGGAAUACUGUCACCAACACCGCAGAACUCACUGAUUACCCCCGCUGGAGGAGCACCCCUGCUCCAUGAAGAUGCUUUUAGUUUCCCAGGUCAGGCCUGAUCCCUCGCAUGAGCACUUUACAGUAUCUACUCAUGAGCUUACAGACAGGUCAUUUUGUUGAUGUUACCCUUGAGAAAUUCUGCAAGGCUAAACUGCCCCAGCUGGAAAGACUUGAACCAGGAUGCAGAACUCCUAUUCUAGUGCUCCUAUUAUUUGCCAUUUUGUGAACCACGGCCUCCUCUUGUUAGUGAAGCCACACUCAAUCUAUUGAAUCCAUCAAGCGCUGACAUUCCACCUUGUUGCCGUCCUGCCUCUGAAAGAGAAUGGACCGGCUAUUAAACCAGUUUUUUUUAGCAAAUUCGGAGCAGCAGGUUCUUGGCUGGGGGGAAAACAUUCCACUUAUCAAGAGAUAUUAUUCCUACAAAGCAUGAGAACCUACUUCUUCAUAAAGAGAAUUUGGAGGGAGCUUUUGUUCUGCAGAGACAACAUCUGGAUUUGAAUACAUCCAUGCUCAAAAGGAGAUUUCUCAUAAUGGACCCAACUGAAAGCACUCAGAGUACAAGGACCCGUAAGCUUUCAAAAGAAGGCACUUCAGGAGACUCGCCAGGGGCGCUCCUAUCCCCGGCAGCGCGAGUUUUGGAGGUCAGUGGAGGGCUCUCGCGCCGUGUGUGUAACUUUCAUACUCAAAGACUUAUCUUCAUCCUCCACCCCCACCUGCUGCAGAAACUUGGCGCUUGAAUUCAUUUAAAAACAUUUGUGGUUUCAGAAGCCUCCUUUUUAUUAUAAAGCUGCCAAGGAGAUCUUAGAAUGAAAACCAUUUUUAGAGAUGAGAAAGAAGGAAGCCGGGCCAAGGCCAGCCCGGCUCUCAGCCGAGGGCCUGUAAAGGUGACACGUGGGACAUGGCCACCUGCAGAUCCUGGAGGCGGCUGGGUGGAGGCGCCUGGGCGGAGGCGCCCAGAGGGACCUGGGUUUGAAUCCCUGUUCUGCCAGUCCUGUCCAUGGCUGAUCUUGGGGAAGUUGUGUAAUCUCUGGGCCCUGCGACGCCCUUUCCUGGAGCUGGAACGAAGCCCCUUGGAACCCUGACAUCAGAGGUGACGCUAGUCUUCGCAGGCAAUGACUUGGCGGAAUGUGAUGCCACUCCCUAACCCACGUCCGGGCUGGCAGGGGGGUGUGUCACCUCCCACCAGGUGGUCCGGCUGCUUUGAUGGACCUUCACUCACUCCUGACAACCUCGUUCUCAGCUAGCACGUCAACAGACUGGCCUUUGGCGCCCCCUGCUGGUGACUUCAGGGAGAAGGGUGACUUCCUGAGCCGAAGGAAGUCCUUCCUGGGGUCUAACCUCUACCUCUGGCUUGAUGAGGCAACUGAGGUGGCUUGCUUUCUCCUCCACCCUAGAAAAUAAACUCAUAUAGAGUCCAA